AGGAUUAACGCUGGCGGCGUGCAUGAAACAUGCAAGUCGAGCGCGGCGCGUGGCUUCGGUCACGCGUCUAGCGGCGCACGGGUGAGUAACACGUGAGCAACCUACCUUCGAGUUCGGGAUAGCCCUGGGAAACCAGGAUUAAUACCGGAUGUGGUCACAACGGGACAUCCCGAUGUGAAAAAAGGCGCAAGCCGCUCGAUGACGGGCUCGCGGCCUAUUAGCUUGUUGGUGGGGUAACGGCCUACCAAGGCGACGAUGGGUAGCUGGUCUGAGAGGACGAUCAGCCACACUGGGACUGAGACACGGCCCAGACUCCUACGGGAGGCAGCAGUUAGGAAUUUUCCGCAAUGGGCGAAAGCCUGACGGAGCAACGCCGCGUGUGUGAUGAAGGCCUUCGGGUUGUAAGCACUGUCGGAGGGAAGAAUGAAUGACGGUACCUCCAAGAAAGCCCGGCUAACUACGCGCCAGCAGCCGCGGU
rnacentral:rRNA from 1 species